GCCUGCAAGAAUCACGGCCCAUGAGUCCACCUGAUCCUGAGUCCCAGCUGCCAUCCACUGGGCCGAGUUUCUCACUCCUGCGCCCGUCACCCCUCCACCCCGGUAACUGCUCCCCGGCUGCUGUCUGUGUCCGCACCCUUCCGGCGGGACUCGCAGCUUCUGGCAGUUUCCCUGACCCAUGAAGGACUCUAGAAUAUUCGGCAAAGCUCUGAAACCCUGUGCCUGGGCCCCCGCUUUCCUGGAUGAACCACUUACUGCCUGUCUGGAUGCUGCUUCCCGGGGUCAGGACCCGGAGCAGAGCCUGGCUCCCGCCUGCGCCCGAACGUACAGACCUCUUGCCCAACCACCAUCACUUAGCUUGGGUCUGCUGGGAAAUUCCUCUCCUUGUUCCUUCACCCCACGCUUGAAGUUCCUUAAAUCCAUAACUUGAAAAACAUGUUCUCUUUGCUCCAGGGAAGGGAAGGUUGACUGUACCAAAGAUGGGAAAACAUAUUUCCAUUUCACUUUCGAGUACGUCAAAGAGAAGGAAGAAAAACACGGUUCAAACACGGACUCUGCAUUUUUGCCAAGAACUCCACCGUUCCCGCCAAUAUCACGGGGGAGAGAUCAGGGAGAGGAGAAGCCUAAAGAAGCGUUAGGCGAGCAUGGCUCCUGCACCAGAGUGACCCGUCGACAAGAUGUGUGGUCCGCGGGCUUUGAGGUAGCCCCUUCCCUGUGUGUGAUCCGGUUACAGGGCCAGGUGAACUUGCUAAUUGGAGAGGCAAGGCAAGGAAGCCUCUCAAACACGUUGGGAUAACGCGGUAGUUGUCAAAGUGUCUUCAAGCACAGGGUGCCCCUACGCCUGUGCCGAGAACAAACUUGCCUGUCACCGUCAUCCAGGCUGUGAGAGCAAGUCCACAACUGUGUUGUAACCAAGAAGAGUCCUGGUCCCUGGUUCUACAGCCUCCGACCCUUAGGAAGCUGUGUCAGGGAUAAAAGGCUGUGCUUCCUUUUAAACUUUGGCCCAUCGUCCUUUGGUCAUCGUGACACCAUGUUUCUUCUUACCAGGGGAAGUUGCCCAGCAGGUCAGGGCUGUCCCUCGGCUGGAGGUCAGGCCAAAGAGCAGGUCACCGUCCUCCCCCCACCUGCUAGUGUCAGUUACCUUCACACACGUAGAAAGAUCAGUGACUAUGUGGGCAGAGGUCAUGUUGCCUGACAGCUUCCACACUUACGGAAAACGUAAACUCCAUCCCCAGAGAAACAGUUGCAUCCCCAGAGACAUGGCCUCUAGCUCCAUCUGUCUCCUGAACACUGAAGCCCUAACACUGAGUUCUCUCUUAGUUGGCUGGGGCAGUCACAUCUGGGCUGUGGUGCCAAAGAGGGCACAAACUAGGACUUAUUUUUGCUGAUCCCUAUAGCAUUUUUAUUUUAUUUUCAUUUUUUAAAUUCAAAUUCAAUUAGCCAACCUGUAACACAUCACUAAUUUCAGAUGCAGUGUUCAGCAAUCCGUCUGUUGCAUGUAACACCCAGUGCU